UAGUCAUAUGCUUGUCUCAAGGAUUAAGCCAUGCAUGUCUCAGUAUAAGUCUAUCUAUGUCGAAACUGCGAAUGGCUCAUUAAAACAGUUAUAACUCGCUCGAUUAUCUACUAAUAUUUGGAUACCUGUGGUAAUUCUAGAGCUAAUACAUGCGUAAAGGCGUGACUUCUUGGAGACGCUGCACAUAUUAGAUACAGAACCAAUCUGCGUAGCAGAAUUUGGAUGACUCAUGAUAUACGUACGGAGCGCAUGACUUGUGUCGGCGCUGCAUCGUCCAUGUUUCUGACCUAUCAGCUUUCGACGGUAGGGUAUUGGCCUACCGUGGCAUUGACGGGUGACGGAGAAUUAGGGUUCGACUCCGGAGAGGGAGCCCGAGAAACGGCUACCACAUCUAAGGAAGGCAGCAGGCGCGUAAAUUACCCAAUCCUGAUACAGGGAGG
rnacentral:rRNA from 1 species